ACGUCAUACUCACUUUGCGCCUCCUGCCCCCCUCCCCACGUCUCUCUCUCAAAUCUCCCUUUUCUCUCUCGCCUCUGCCGGAAACGGCUACUGCCGGUCACGCCGGCGCCGACCAGCCGCCCCUCUCUCCUUCUUCCUUUCUCUUUCUUUCUCUUUCCCCUCUUCUCACUUUCUCUCGGUCUCCUUCUCCACCAGCACCACCGCCGGCUGGAAACCGCCGCUGCUGCCGUCGGGCUGCCGCCGCCGCUGCGCCGGCCGCCGCCGCUUCGGAGAAAUCAAGAGGGGUUGAAAAGACAUUGAAAAAGAGUGUCGUCUUUUGCCGGAUUUCGUCACCACCGCCGGGCUGCCGUCGCCGCCGCUGAGCCGCCGGAGGGCAGAAACUCCAGCCCAUGUUGCAUAGAAAAGAGAAGAUUAUGAUUGCAGCUUUGGAAAAAGGCAAAACACCAAUUUUAAGAGAACUGUUUAAUGCAGAACAGUUUCAAAGCAGGUUAUUACAGAUGUAAACAUUACGAUAGGAAGAAAAAAAAGGAAAAAAAAAGUGUUGCUGAUGCAGCUGAAUCUAUUCAAGCACCGGGCAACCUGUAUAGGAGUCUGAGAACACUUCCCAAAAACAGGAAAAAAAAGAAGAAAAGAAAAAAAGGAAAAAAAUGGAAAAAAGGAAAAAAAGAAAAAAAAGGAAAAAAGAAGGUAGAGACGAAUACUCAACUAUGCCUGUGGAGCAUGAAGAUGUUGAGCCAAGAGAAAUGACUUUGGAAGACAUUGAGAACAGAUUAGGAUAAAGACGAUUACUCAACUAAAAUGUGCGGUGUGGAAAGAACGGCUUAAAGGUAUCCAAAAAUUUGAGAAUAUACAGGGUUCCGCUUUUGCUAUUAUUAGCGAAUGAUUGAAGUAAUAUGGAGCUUUUCAAGAAUGCUUCAAAUGGUGUGAGAGGAAAGAGGCUGUCGCUGAACUAACAGAACUUGCACCCGCCAAAAAGAUUACUCCUGGAGAUUUUUCAGAAGUUUGUCGUACAAUAAAGAAGGUUAUCACAGAUGUAAACAUUACGAUAGGAAGAAGGAAAAAAAAUAGUUUCUGUUGCAGAAAAGGGCAACCUUUUUAGGGGUCUGAGAACACUUCCCAAAAAAAAAAGGAAAAAAUGGAAAAAAAAGAAAAGAAAAAGAAAAAAAGGAAAAAAGAAAAAAAAAGUAGAGAUGAUUACUCAAUUAUGCCUGUGGAGCUUGAAGAUGUUGAGCCAGGAAAAAUGAGUUUGGAAGAGAUUGAGAACAGAUUAGGAUCCCUUAUUCAAACGGAGACGAUUACUCAACUAAAAUGUGCUGUGUGGAUAGAGCAGCUUAAAGCUAUUGUGUCUUUUAAAGAGCAGCUGAAGCAUGCUUUAAUGAAAUAUUGAGGGUUUGUUUACAAGAAACUGUAUCAAAAAAUUUGAGAGAUUUACAAGGUUCCACUUUUGCUAUUAUUAGCGAAUGAGUGAAGCAAUAUGGAGCUUUUCAAGGUUAAUAUGCUACUUUCCAUUAUAACCCAUUCAUCUUAUAAUAAAAAAUAGAUAAGAAAGUUUCAAAUGAUGUGAGAGGAAAGAGGCUGUCGCUGAACUAACAGAGCUUGCAUCCACCAAAAGAUUACUCCUUGAGAUUUUUCAGAAGUUUGUCGAACAAUUAAAAAGGUUAUAUCACAGAUGUAAACAUUAUGAUAAGAAGAAAAAAAAGGAAAAAAAAGCGUUGCUGUUGCAGCUGAAGCUAUUCAAGCUCUGGGCAACCUGUAUAGGAGUCUGAGAACACUUCCCAAAAAAAGGAAAAAAAGGAAAAAAAGAGAGAGAGAAAAAAAGGAAAAAAAUGGAAAAAAAGAAAAAAGGAAAAAAAGGAAAAAAAAAGGAAAAAAUGGAGAAAAAAGAAGAAAGGAGAAGACUAUUACUUGACUAUGCCUUUGGAGCUUGAAGAUGUUGAGCCAAGAGAAAUGAGUUUGGAAGAAAUUGAGAGCAGAUUAGGAUCCCUUAUUCAAGUAGAGACAUUACUCAACUAAGAUCUGCUGUGUGGAGAGAGCGGCUUAAAGAAAGUUUCAAAUGAUGUGAGAGGAAAGAGGCUGUCGCUGAACUAACAGAGCUUGCAUCCACCAAAAGAUUACUCCUUGAGAUUUUUCAGAAGUUUGUCGAACAAUUAAAAAGGUUAUAUCACAGAUGUAAACAUUAUGAUAGGAAGAAAAAAAAGGAAAAAAAAGCGUUGCUGUUGCAGCUGAAGCUAUUCAAGCUCUGGGCAACCUGUAUAGGAGUCUGAGAACACUUCCCAAAAAAAGGAAAAAAAGGAAAAAAAGAGAGAGAGAAAAAAAGGAAAAAAAUGGAAAAAAAGAAAAAAGGAAAAAAAGGAAAAAAAAAGGAAAAAAUGGAGAAAAAAGAAGAAAGGAGAAGACUAUUACUUGACUAUGCCUUUGGAGCUUGAAGAUGUUGAGCCAAGAGAAAUGAGUUUGGAAGAAAUUGAGAGCAGAUUAGGAUCCCUUAUUCAAGUAGAGACAUUACUCAACUAAGAUCUGCUGUGUGGAGAGAGCGGCUUAAAGGUAUCCAAAAAUUUGAGAGAUUUACAAGGUUCCACUUUUGCUAUUAUUAGCGAAUGAGUGAAGCAAUAUGGAGCUUUUCAAGAUUAAUAUGCUACUUUCCAUUAUAACCCAUUCAUCUUAUAAUAAAAAAUAGAUAAGAAAGUUUCAAAUGGUGUGAGAGGAAAGAGGCUGUCGCUGAACUAACAGAGCUUGCAUCCACCAAAAGAUUACUCCUUGAGAUUUUUCAGAAGUUUGUCGAACAAUUAAGAAGGUUAUAUCACAAAUGUAAACAUUACGAUAGGAAGAAAAAAAAGGAAAAAAAAGCGUUGCUGUUGCAGCUGAAGCUAUUCAAGCUCUGGGCAACCUGUAUAGGAGUCUGAGAACACUUCCCAAAAAAGGAAAAAAAGGAAAAAAAGAGAGAGAAAAAAAGGAAAAAAAAUGGAAAAAAAGAAAAAAGGAAAAAAAGGAAAAAAAAAGGAAAAAAUGGAGAAAAAAGAAAAAAGGAGAAGACUAUUACUUGACUAUGCCUGUGGAGCUUGAAGAUGUUGAGCCAAGAGAAAUGAGUUUGGAAGAAAUUGAGAGCAGAUUAGGAUCCCUUAUUCAAGUAGAGACAUUACUCAACUAAGAUCUGCUGUGUGGAGAGACCGGCUUAAAGAAAGUUUCAAAUGGUGUGAGAGGAAAGAGGCUGUCGCUGAACUAACAGAGCUUGCAUCCACCAAAAGAUUACUCCUUGAGAUUUUUCAGAAGUUUGUCGAACAAUUAAGAAGGUUAUAUCACAGAUGUAAACAUUACGAUAGGAAGAAAAAAAAGGAAAAAAAAGCGUUGCUGUUGCAGCUGAAGCUAUUCAAGCUCUGGGCAACCUGUAUAGGAGUCUGAGAACACUUCCCAAAAAAAGGAAAAAAAGGAAAAAAAGGAAAAAUGUUGAAGAUUGUCAGUCAUUCCAUCUGUUGUGUCUUUUAAAGAGUAGGUUGAAUCACAAACUGAUUUGGAUCCAUCUGUUGAGAGGUCGAUCCAUUUACUUUGUGUUAUUCCCAGCUGGAAUGAGAAAAAUGUUCAGGUCCUGCAAGAAGUUAUUGAUAUUGUCACCCAAAUUACUGCGGUAGCAUCGAAGCUUCCUAAAGAGUGUGUUGUGAGAAAAUCUUCAAAUGGUGUAAGAGGAAAGAGGCUGCUGCUGAACUAACAGAACUUGCAUCCACUAAAAAGAUUGCUCUUGGAGAUUUUUUAGAAGUUUGUCGAAAAAUAAAGGUUACUAUAAGAAAAAAAGAAAAAAAGGAAAAAAAAAGAAAAAAAAGGAAAAAAAGGAAAAAGGGGAAAAAAGGAAAAAUAAAAGAAAAAAGAAGUAGAGACGAUUACUCAACUAAGCCUGUCGAGGAUGAAGAUGUUGAGCCAAGAGAAAUUAGUUUGGAAGAGAUUGAGAGCAGAUUAGGAAUUCAAGUAGAGAUGAUUACUCAACUAACAGAACUUGCAUCCUCCAAAAAGAUUGCUCUUGGAGAUUCUUCAUAAGUUUGUCGAACAAUAAAGAAGGUUAUAUCACAGAUGUAAACCGUUGCUGUUGCAGCUGAAGCUAUUCAAGCACUGGGCAACCUUUAUAGGGGUCUGAGAACACUUCCCAAGAAAAAGGACAAAAAAGGAAAAGAAAACAAAAAUAAAAAGAAAAAAAAGAAAAAAAGGGAAAAAAGAAAAAAAGGAAAAAAAGAAAGAAAAAAGAAGUAGAGACGAUUACUCAACUAAAACCUGUGGAGCAUGAAGAUGUUGGGGUUUGAGCUACUGUAGGUAUCCAAAAACUUGAGAGAUAUACAAGGUUCUGCUUUAGCUAUUAUUAGCGAAUAGCGAAUGAUUAAAGCCAUAUGGUGCUUCUGAAGGUUCAAAUGGUGUGAGAGGAAAGAGGUUGUCGCUGAACUAACAGAACUUGCAUCCACCAAAAAGAUUACUCCUGUAGAUUUUUCGGAAGUUUGUCGAACAAUAAAGAAGGUUACAGAUGUAAACAUUACGAUAGGAAGAAAAAAAGGAAAAAAAAGCGUUGUUGCAGCUGAACCUAUUCAAGCUCUGGGCAACCUGUAUAGAAGUCUGAGAACACUUCCCAAAAAAAGAAAAUAAAAAGGAAAAAAAAAGAAAAGAAUAAAGGGGAAAAAGUAAAAAAAUGGAAAAAAGAAAAAAGGAAUAAAAAAGGAAAAAAAAGCAAAAAAAGAGAAAAAAGUAGAGAUUAUCACUCAACUAUGCCUGUGGAGCUUGAAGAUGUUGAGCCAAGAGAAAUGAGUUUGGAAGAGAUUGAGAGCAGAUUAGGAUCUCUUAUUCAAGUAGAGACGAUUACUCAACUAAAAUGUGCGGUGUGGAAAGAGCGGCUUAAAGGGUACUUGAAUUUCUUCAAGAGCUUCUGGAUCUGUUGAGAAAUGAGGGGCUACACUAUCAGAAG